GUAAGAAGAGGUUCCAGUUUGGGGCGGCUAGAACUGGGGUGCUUCUUCAGCAGGCGAGGAGGGCGUGGCGCGAGAGUUAGAGUACCUCCCCCGAUCCCCUCCCACCUAGGGCUUGCUCCCCACCCACAUGCACCUUCCUCUCGCGCAGGCGCAGUGGCUCCGGCGUGCAGGCCGGGGCGGGCUGGGCGCAGAACCCCCGCGCGGUUCGCGAGCGCAUAGCGAUUGCUUCUGUCUGUUGUUUAGUUAUGGCGCUGUCAAGGAAGCGCCGGGGCAGAGGGAACCCAGGUCAGGGUCUAGCUCUGUGCUGACGGCGACCCAGGGCCGAGUGGGCUAUGGGGGAGCCCGGGUCCUUGGUCAUGGGGGUCCGCGCCCGUAGCCGGAGCUGCUGCUUGCGGCGUGUGGGGAUGGACGCCGAGUGGCUGCUGCUGGAGGAUGGAAACGAGGUGACUAUAGGGCGAGGAUUUGGUGUCACAUACCAACUGGUAUCAAAACUCUGCCCUCUGAUGAUUUCCCGAAACCACUGUGUUUUGAAGCAGAAUGCUGAUGGCCAAUGGACAAUUAUGGACAACGAGGGCUUCCCUUCUGAAGAGGCAGAGGUUUUGCAACAGCAAGAGAGAAAUUCUAUUAAGAGGAAGAAAAUCAUGAAGUUUAUUUUGUCUUUCUUUCCCUUUCCUCAGAGUCUGAAUGGUGUUUGGCUGAAUAGAGUACGUCUAGAACCUUUAAAGGUCUAUUCUAUCCAUAAGGGAGACCACAUCCAGCUUGGGGUUCCCCUGGAAAAUAAAGAGAAUGCAGAAUAUGAAUAUGAAGUUACUGAAGAAGAUUGGGAGAGGAUGUCUCCUUAUCUUGCCCCAAAGAGUGACCAGAUGAUGGAAAAAAGUAAGAGCUUGAGAACUAAAAGGAAAUUUAGUUUGGAUGAAUUAGAGGAUCCUGGAGCUGAAGGCCCCUCAAAGUUGAAAUCCAAAAUAAAUAGAGUAUCUUGUGAACGUGGUCAACCAGUGAAAUCACAUGGGAAAGGUGAAGUGGCCAGUCAACACUCUGAAUAUUUGGAUCCUAAGUUGUCUUCUCUUGAGCCACGUGAGAAGACUACAGGGGCUCACGUUUACUCUGGCCCCGCAAAAGCCGUGAAGCUUCAUCAUAAGAAGGAGAAAGCAUCAAACCCUUUUGCAUCUCAGAGCAGCUUAGAGUUGUUUAAGGUGACCAUGUCCAGGAUUCUGAAGCUGAAAACACAGAUGCAAGAAAAACAGAAAGCUGUUCUGAAUGUGAAAAAGCAGACCCCAAAAGGGAACUCAAAGAAAAUUGUGAAAAUGGAGCAGGAAUUACAGGAUUUACAGUUCCAGCUUUGUGCAGAGCAGGCCCAGCAGCAGGCCAGAGUGGAGCAGCUAGAGAAGACUUUCAAGGAAGAGCAGCAGUUUCUCCAGGGUUUGGAGAAAGAGCAAGGAGAGGAGGACCUGAAGCAACAGCUGGCCCAGGCUCUGCAGGAGGUCGGAGAUUUGGAGCCUCACAGACAUGCCAGACCUCAGCAUGAAAACUUACAUCUUCAUCGGAGCAGGAGCUGCUCUAGUGAAGAUGGAAUGGAGCUUAUAGCAAUUAGGAGGCUCUCUGGAGGAAGUGGCUGCAUUUCCAGAAAGCAUCGGGCUUUAAUGGAAGAGCUAAAUCGCAGCAAGAAGGACUUUGAAGCAAUCAUUCAAGCCAAGAACAAAGAAUUGGAGCAGACCAAGGAAGAAAAGGAGAAGGUGCAAGCACAGAAAGAGGAAGUUCUUAGCCACAUGAAUGAUGUGCUAGAGAAUGAGCUCCAGUGUAUUAUUUGCUCAGAAUACUUCAUUGAGGCUGUCACCUUGAACUGUGCACAUAGUUUCUGCUCCUUUUGUAUCAAUGAAUGGAUGAAGCGGAAGAUAGAAUGCCCUAUUUGUCGGAAGGACAUCAAGUCCAAAACCCACUCCCUGGUUCUGGACAAUUGCAUUAGUAAGAUGGUAGAUAAUCUAAGUUCAGAAGUAAAAGAACGACGAAUUGUCCUCAUUAGGGAACGAAAAGCAAAGAGACUGUCCUGAAGACCAUGCUCCAAGGGCAUUUGAAAGACUGCCAGGCAAUGGGAGCUUAGGAUGGUCUGAAGGAUUCUUCGUGGACUGGUCUUGGACCGCUCUGAGACAAAGCGUGGGAUAGAACCACGUGGGACAGAGACUGAAUUAGGAAGUUCUCCGUCACGAGCCUUCCAUGUUGACCAGCUCUGCUGCUGCCACCAUGAUCUAAAGCACCACCGGAACUCACCACACCACCUGCUUUCAGGGUACUUAAUAGACUCUGCUUCACUACAUGUUGAUUAUAGUUAUAUAGUUCUGUUCUGCUUUUUAAAUUUGUUGUUUUUGUUAUUGUUUUGGUACCUCAGAAGCACCUCUGUUGGCAUUUGUUUUGGACAUCUUGGAUGUUGAUGUACCCCUAUGGCUGCCCCUGCAAGCUCCCAGACAGUCUCACAAGUAAACACUGGCAGCUCAUAAAUUGCAACCAAGAAAGUGACUAUAUCAGAUGAUAGACUCAAGUGAAUGUCAGCCUGCGAAGCCAAGCCCAAGAUCAUGGCCAUAGCAGAUGGGCUCCGUUAAGCCCCUGACUGUUGUGGUUUUGUUGUUGUUGUUGUUGUUGUUGUUGUUGUUGUUGUUGUUGUUGUUUACUCCAGAGGUAGGUCACUGCUUACCUAAUUUCGGGAUGGGAUGAAUUACCUUCUUUCAUCUGGAGUUCUAAAAUUGUUUUCAAAUUUAUUUUACCCAGUGUCAAAAUACAGGCAGUGAUUUUAUGAGAACUUGGGUGUGGUUUUUUGUUUUUUGUUUUUGUUUUUGUUUUUUUUAAAAUUAAAGGCAUCUCUCUUUUGCUGCCUCCUUAACAGAAAGAAAACUAGUUUGAUGUUUGGGAGAUAGAAGCUUAGGAUAACCUGUGGUAUCUUAGGUUACCAGUGAUGAGAAUGAGGGACAAUAUGGGAAGUUGAAGAGCUGUCAUUUGAAAUGGGGAGGUCUCUAGUAGGAUUGUGAACUGUCAGCAAUUUCCCAGCAGGUGGAAAGGUAUUUAUUUUCCUCUCCCUUUUUACCGCCUACCUGGAGAACCAUUCUUUGUAAUUCUUUAUUUAUACCCCAUGUAUUUUCAUAAAAGAUUGGAAACUAUUGACUUGCCAACUUUUUAGGGAUGGUCUGUUUUUUCUUUUGUUGAAUAUACUGUGAAAUUGGGA